rnacentral:rRNA from 1 species
CGGAGGUGCAAGCGUUAAUCGGAAUUACUGGGCGUAAAGCGCACGCAGGCGGUUUGUUAAGUCAGAUGUGAAAUCCCCGGGCUCAACCUGGGAACUGCAUCUGAUACUGGCAAGCUUGAGUCUCGUAGAGGGGGUAGAAUUCCAGUGUAGCGGUGAAUAGCGUAGAGAUCUGGAGGAAUACCGGUGGCGAAGGCGGCCCCUCGGACGAAGACUGACGCUCAGGUGCGAAAGCGUGGGGAGCAAACAGGAUU